rnacentral:rRNA from 1 species
UACGUAGGGAGCGAGCGUUGUCCGGAAUUACUGGGCGUAAAGGGCGCGUAGGCGGGAACUUAGGUUAGAUGUGAAAACUCCGGGCUUAACCUGGAGACUGCAUUUAAAACUGGGUUUCUUGAGGGCAGGAGAGGAAAGUGGAAUUCCUAGUGUAGCGGUGAAAUGCGUAGAUAUUAGGAGGAACACCAGUGGCGAAGGCGACUUUCUGGACUGUACCUGACGCUGAGGCGCGAAAGCAUGGGGAGCGAACAGG